GAUUGCAUCGAAACUGCAGAUCUUGAGUGAUGAGAAGCAUAGUGGAAUCCUAGUGUAGCGGUAAAAUGCGGUAGAUAAUUCGGAGGAAACACCAGUGGCGAAGGCGGCUUUGCUGGGGUCUAACUGACGUUGAGGCUUGAAAAGUGUGGGGAGCAAACAAGAAUUAGAUACCCUUGUAGUCCACACUGUACACGAAUGAUUACUAGGUGGUGGGGGUUCUGACCCUCUCCGUGCGAGAGAUUACGCCAAUAUAAUAUCCACCUUGGGAAGUGCGGCCACCAUGGUUAAACUCAAGAGGAGUUGAGGGGGGCGCGCACACAGUGGGGAUAUGGUGGAAAAUAAGAAACACGAAGAACAUCAUCACGUCUUGACACCUGCCUAAUGAAGCAGAGAUGCAUCAUCUGCUCUCCUUGGAGAGACGAGACAGCUGGUGCAUCGUUGUCGUCAGCUCGUGUCGUGAGAUGUUGGGUUAAGUCCCGCAACGAGCGCAACCCUUGCCAUUAGUUGCUACGCAAGAGCACUCUAAUGGGACCGCUACCGACAAGGUGGAGGAAGGUGGGGACGACGUCAAAUCAUCAUGCCCCUUAUGACCUGGGCUACACACGUAAUACAAUGGCCGUUAACAGAGGGAAGCUACCCCGCGAGGGCAAGCGAAUCCCUAAAAGUUGUCUCAGUUCGGAUUGCAGGCUGCAACUCGC
rnacentral:rRNA from 1 species